rnacentral:lncRNA from 1 species
CAUUAAAGAAGGAGAUGCGUCUUGGGACAGAGUCUUCUCUCUGGUACUUCAGGAAGGCCAGACCUUGGAAGUCAGCCAAGAAAAGGGGAUCAGUUGUUGAAGCGCCCAACGUGCUCAGGUUCAAGAGAAUAAGAAAGCAGAGACCACAGUGGCCCACCUGGUUUGCAUAAUGGUCCCUUGGAGAUUCUAGCCCAGCCACUGUGGACACAGGACCCGGGAGUCUGCUGAUCCUCCUCAGUCAUCUCCUGCUUGUAUGAUGUCACGUUUCCAUGGUGUCCUCCUUAGCCACCAAGUGGUAUUUCCUGUGCUUAGGCGUCUGUUGAGAAUGCAGGAGGUAGAAGGUGCAGUCAGAAAGCCAUUGGCUCUGCCCCACAGUCCUGGAGUAAACCUGGCCUGACUGUCUA